GGAGGGGUGCCGGAGCGGCCUAUCGGAACCGCCUUGAAAGCGGUCGUAGCGAGAGCUACCGCGGGUUCAAAUCCCGCCUCCUCCGCCA
rnacentral:tRNA from 2 species